rnacentral:rRNA from 1 species
UACAGAGGGUGCGAGCGUUGUCCGGAAUCACUGGGCGUAAAGGGCGCGUAGGUGGCGCUCCAAGUCUGUGGUGAAAGCUCGAUGCUCAACAUCGAGUCGGCCAUAGAGACUGGAGGGCUCGAGCACUGUAGGGGCAGAUGGAAUUCCGGGUGUAGCGGUGGAAUGCGUAGAGAUCCGGAAGAACACCGGUGGCGAAGGCGGUCUGCUGGGCAGUUGCUGACACUGAGGCGCGACAGCGUGGGGAGCAAACA